GACGAACGCUGGCGGCGUGCCUAAUACAUGCAAGUCGAGCGCAGGAAAUCAUCCGAACCCUUCGGGGGGACGUUGAUGGAAUGAGCGGCGGACGGGUGAGUAACACGUAAAGAACCUGCCCUCGGGUCUGGGAUAACCACGAGAAAUCGGGGCUAAUACCGGAUGGGUCAUCGGACCGCAUGGUCCGAGGAUGAAAGGCGCUUCGGCGCCGCCUGGGGAUGGCUUUGCGGUGCAUUAGCUAGUUGGUGGGGUAAUGGCCCACCAAGGCGACGAUGCAUAGCCGACCUGGGAGGGUGAUCGGCCACACUGGGACUGAGACACGGCCCAGACUCCUACGGGAGGCAGCAGUAGGGAAUCUUCCACAAUGGACGAAAGUCUGAUGGAGCAACGCCGCGUGAACGAUGAAGGCCUUCGGGUCGUAAAGUUCUGUUGUAAGGGAAGAACAAGUGCCGCAGGCAAUGGCGGCACCUUGACGGUACCUUGCGAGAAAGCCACGGCUAACUACGUGCCAGCCGCCGCGGUAAUAC
rnacentral:rRNA from 1 species